UGUGUGGAAUACUUUGUGGAACCUACAUGGUUAAUGAAAGUGGACUAUCAGCAACUCGUUAUUGUUGUUCCCUAAUUACUAGCACCAAAUCCUUGCAGCAUUUCCAUUUCAUUGACACGAGUGCAGGGCUUCAGACCUUCAAACCAAGUCUUUUAGAAAGAAGUAUCCCGUUUGCGUGGUCUAGUUGGUGGAGGAGAAAUUCAGGAUAAUGACAUUUUAGUUGUCAGCUUCCCAGGUUCUCCUGGAUCCUUCAAGUGGGAGGGUGUGCAAGGAUCAUUCACUCCAUUAACCUCUGUUAAAAGGAUAUCUCAGAAAAAAGACUAUGACAUUGCCCUUGUUGGGGCCUUUAGAAGGGAAAAGGACAAAGAGAUGGAAUUACAGGCACUAAGAGAUGAAAUUCAAGCGUCCAUGAAGCUGGUGAGACAAAGAGAAGAUGAGAUACAAAGUUUGAAGAUGAGACUACGUUUUCGAGAAGCUGGAAUAAAAAGAUUAGAAACAGUUGCUUCUGAGAAGAUCUCAGCUGAGACACACUUGCUAAAAGAAAAAGAGGAGCACUUGAAGGAAAUUGAGGUCUUGCGGGCCCAGGUGGAUCGGAAUAAUGAAGCAACUAGAUUUGCUAUGGAAAAUUUGCAGCUAAAAGAAGAAAUUAGAAGGCAUGUUUUAUUGAUACAGCUAAAAUACUUUUUUGUUGCUUUUUUUUUAUUCAUGUGCAUGCAAAAGUAACUCACUUUGAUUUCAUGAUUAAAGUAAAGGUUGGGAAGUGGCAUAGUUACUCUAUGACCAAAAAUCAAUCUUCCAGUAUGAACAAUAUAUACAUUGCCUAUUAUAUCCACAAAUAUGAAAAUAUGUAAAUCAGUUGAGGCAAGAACACAGCCUUAUGGUAUUGUCAAACUCAAAAGAAACUAGUCAACCAACCAGUCCAAGUUCUCCAACAAAUUAGUGCU